rnacentral:rRNA from 1 species
GAUGAUGGUGACCUAAACCCUCACCAGAGUAACAAUUGGAGGGCAAGUCUGGUGCCAGCAGCCGCGGUAAUUCCAGCUCCAAUAGCGUAUAUUAAACUUGUUGCAGUUAAAAAGCUCGUAGUUGAAUUUUUGCGUCACCGUGUAUCGACAUUUGUCGUUUAUCGGUUUCGCUUUUGGGAUUUAUCCCUUUUUACUUUGAGAAAAUUAGAGUGUUUCAAGCAGACUUUUGUCUUGAAUACUUCAGCAUGGAAUAAUAGAGUAGGACUUUGGUUCUAUUUUGUUGGUUUGUGAACCUUAGUAAUGGUUAAUAGGAACGGUUGGGGGCAUUCGUAUUUAACUGUCAGAGGUGAAAUUCUUAGAUUUGUUAAAGACGAACUACUGCGAAAGCAUUUGCCAAGGACGUUUUCAUUAAUCAAGAACGAAAGUUAGGGGAUCGAAGACGAUCAGAUACCGUCGUAGUCCUAACCAUAAACUAUGCCGACUAGGGAUUGGAGGUCGUCAUUUUUCCGACUCCUUCAGCACCUUGAG